AUUGAACGCUGGCGGCAUGCCUUACACAUGCAAGUCGAACGGUAACAGGUCUUCGGAUGCUGACGAGUGGCGAACGGGUGAGUAAUACAUCGGAACGUGCCCGAUCGUGGGGGAUAACGCAGCGAAAGCUGUGCUAAUACCGCAUACGAUCUACGGAUGAAAGCGGGGGAUCGCAAGACCUCGCGCGGACGGAGCGGCCGAUGGCAGAUUAGGUAGUUGGUGGGAUAAAAGCUUACCAAGCCGACGAUCUGUAGCUGGUCUGAGAGGACGACCAGCCACACUGGGACUGAGACACGGCCCAGACUCCUACGGGAGGCAGCAGUGGGGAAUUUUGGACAAUGGGGGAAACCCUGAUCCAGCCAUGCCGCGUGCAGGAUGAAGGCCUUCGGGUUGUAAACUGCUUUUGUACGGAGCGAAACGGCUCUCUCUAAUACAGGGGGCUAAUGACGGUACCGUAAGAAUAAGCACCGGCUAACUACGUG
rnacentral:rRNA from 1 species